GGAGAGGUGUCCGAGCGGUCGAAGGAGCACGCCUGGAAAGCGUGUGUGCGGUAACCCCGUACCGAGGGUUCGAAUCCCUCCCUCUCCGCCA
rnacentral:tRNA from 9 species